rnacentral:rRNA from 1 species
UACGAAGGGGGCUAGCGUUGCUCGGAAUCACUGGGCGUAAAGCGCACGUAGGCGGCUUUCUAAGUCAGGGGUGAAAUCCUGGAGCUCAACUCCAGAACUGCCUUUGAUACUGGAGAGCUUGAGUCCGGAAGAGGUGAGUGGAACUCCGAGUGUAGAGGUGAAAUUCGUAGAUAUUCGGAAGAACACCAGUGGCGAAGGCGGCUCACUGGUCCGGUACUGACGCUGAGGUGCGAAAGCGUGGGGAGCAAAC